CCACCGUGAGGUUUACAGUUUUGGUUUGGAGAGAAAUGUCCCACCAACUAUUAGAUGGAUUGCCAUGAGAUGUGGUUUAUCAUUCAGGUUGAGUUAACCUCCAUUCACCUGCGUUGUAUUGAAGUGACGGCAGAAAACUCAGAGGCAAAUAUCUCAAAAACCGGAAAAAUAAAAACCACACUAUCUGCAUGACAAGUUCUAGAUGAGUCAGGAAAUCUGUUUUUUUGUCAUCUCGGUGAACUGAGCAUAUAAUCUUCUGUUCCUCCUGUCAGAUGUUCCUUCUAUUGAUGUAUUACCCGUCUGUUAUGUUUCCUUUCCUUCCCGUGUUCCCUCCUUUAUCUGCUCCCUCACCCUGUCGUUUUGUCUCCACAGUCACUGUAUCCAUCAGAUUCUAGACAGUGUGUCUUACACCCACCAACAUGACAUAGUGCACAGGGACCUCAAGUCAUUGCAUCCAGCAGAUCCUGGAGGCCGUGCUCCACUGCCAUCAGAUGGGGGUGGUACACAGAGACCUCAAGCCAGAGAACCUGCUGCUUGCCAGCAAGUGUAAGAACGCUGCGGUGAAGCUGGCUGACUUUGGUCUGGCUAUCGAGGUCCAAGGAGAACAGCAGGCUUGGUUCGGUAUGACACACACACACACACACACACACACACACACACACACA